rnacentral:lncRNA from 1 species
CUGAAAACAAUAAUAAUAAUAAUACGAAAAAAUAAUAAUAAUAAGAAUAAUAUGAGAAAAUAGAGAGAAGCAAAGGUACCUGUUGGUGGCCAUAUAUGUAUUCCUCAGUAAUUCUAACUGCAGUUGAUCCCAAACUCCAUCUGAUUACAUCCAUUGAUGGAUUCACACGCCAUCUUGGCCCACAUAGAAAUGGAUGUCUUAGAGCAUCUAAACAUCUGUAACAAAUCUAAAUUACAACCUUUUCAAACAAAAAUUAGUUAUUAUAUCAUUUCACUAAUGUAAUACCCAAACUAUUUUAUAGAAUGGAGUCCAACUUUUGAUGCUCUAAGCUUAUAUAUAUAUAUAUAUAUAUAUAUAUAUAUAUAUAUACUCAGUNNNNNNNNNNNNNNNNNNNNNNNNNNNNNNNNNNNNNNNNNNNNNNNNNNNNNNNNNNNNNNNNNNNNNNNNNNNNNNNNNNNNNNNNNNNNNNNNNNNNNNNNNNNNNNNNNNNNNNNNNNNNNNNNNNNNNNNNNNNAUUGAAUAGAUGUGUACUUACUUGCAGACCAAUAUUUCCAUGUGAUGAAUUCAUGUUUAGAGUUGGUAGGAGGAACUCACGCAAGCAAGAAGGAUCAUUUCCCUGAACAGAUGAUGAGAAUAAGUGGAUAUUACAUUGGUUUAGUUUUUUAGGAUUCUGAUUGAAUUUAGGGUUUUUAAACAUGAAUAUAUGAUAUAGUAUAGACAUUAAAAACCAGUCCUUUUAAUAAAGAGAAACAUAAGAAAUAUGUUUACCUUGUUGAGGAAUGCUUUGAACUUUGUGAAGAUAACUGGAUCCAUAAGUUCCCGUAAUACCAUUUUUGCCAUGAUGAAUCCAAGACAUCUAAUUUAAUAUAUUAUAAGAUUAGAAUGAUCAUCUCCCUUAUCAUAAACAUACAUAAUUUCCUUCUUCCUUUAGGCUACUACUUUUGUAAAUUACAUGUUUUGCAAGAGUAACCCUAACAAUUUUUGUUUAAUUCAACACAACAAGUAUCUCUUUGUUGACUGCAUACCUCAUAUCAAAUGCAAUCAUCAUUUGUUGUCUGUCCAUGUUGUUUUCAAAAAAGUCAGCAGCAUUCCCCAAUAUUCCUACCUGUUAUAAAAAGUCAAAGAGCUAUAAGAAAGGAAAAAUAUAAAUCUUGCAUCCUAAGUAAGUGUUUGGUUUGUUGGUUGUAAAUUGAAAUGGAUGCAAUUCAAUUUGUUCGAUUCCAUUCUUCCUUUUCUAUCAAAAGACGAAAAUACCCUCUCAUUUUUUCUAACACAUCAACAUAACAUACUGCAAACCAAGCACUCCCUGUUGUCUUUUUGGUAUCAUGAAAUGGAAUCACAAAGGUCCACAGAAUGAGCCAUUAUUAUACCAUUAUUAUGUUUGAUUGGCUUGAAGGAAUUUAACCGGAAUCCUGAGUAAAACUAAAAUUGAUAAAUAUAAAUUUAUAAAUUAAACUUUACUCAAAUGAACACUAAAUAAAUUACAUAUAAGCGUGUUUUUAUGUUUGUUUGAAAAUUGAAAUAUACCAUGUGUAUUUCCAAUAGUAAAAAAUAACUAUUCAACACUUUGAAAUACUUGUUUACAAAUAAAGUGAAUACCAUGAAAUCUCAAAAUACGAAGAAAAAUAAAUAUAUCUUUAUCUAUUUUUGAGAAUAAUAAAAAUAAUUUAAUCAAAGUUGUGAUUUUAACAUUUGUAGAAGCAAAGAAAUAUGAAUACAUACGAUUGGUGUGGCUUGAGAAAUAAGAAUACUCACUUUAAUAUGUCUAUCGACUGGACUUAUAUGAACAUUCUCCAAUCUCAACUCUGUAUGGGCAAGUCCAUGACUAUGUAAAUAGUUUACCUGAGUGAGGUACAACAAAAUCAAAAUCAACAUCAACAUGAAAGCGAAUAUUUUUGACUUUUGAAGUCUUUAUUCUUCAACUUUGACCUUAAAUAUUUUUGUUUUUGAUAUAUAAUACUUUAUGCAAAAUGCAUGAAUGGAUUGUGUUUUAAAUGUCUUUUCAUCGUUAUAAGUUUCAUCAAGUGAUUUAUAACACAAAUAAAAAUAUUUAAGGUCAAAGUUGAAGAAUAAAGACUUCAAAAGUCAAAAGUGGACAAUAAAUAUGGGACAUAGAGUAUUUAACUAUUUAUUAAGCAACGUACUCCAAUGAGUAGAUCUCUCAUGAGAAUUCGAGUAACACGGAGUUGGCGAGAGACCGCAGGGCCGCCUACGGUAUCAUCACCGGCCCUCCUCACCGCAGAUUCUUCGUCUAAAGCAAGCGUAGCUUCUAAUGUUGGGAGCCAGUCUGUCUGACGAAGCCAGUGCCUCAAAGACAAACCACCAUGAUACUACAUGCAUCAUGUUCAUCUUCAAUUAUAUUAUAUACGUAAAAUUAUAAAUAAUCACUUUUGUAUUUAAGAAAAUAAGAAAAAGUUAAUUUUUAACUAAAAUCAUAAAAAGUUUACAUAAAUGAAAAUCGGUUAGUUUUUAUGGUGGAAUGAAAAUUGAGAAAAUGGAAGGAAGCAAUUAAAUUCAUUUAAUAAAAAGUUAAUAGGACCUACCCCAUGAACAAGGGUAAAAGAGCCCUCAUCCUCCGUUGUUGUUUCUGGGGAGAAGACGUAACCAUGUACUUGCAUUGAAUAUGAAUGGUACAUCAUUUUACGGCGACAAAGCUUCUUUAACACCUACACUCCAAAUUCCAAAUCCAAACAAUGAUACAUACAUACAUACAUACAUACAUACAUACAUGAUGAUGAUGCUGAUGAUGAUGCAAUAAAUAUUAUGAAUUUGAUAAUGAACAUAACUAGUAAGCAGCCACCUGCAUAGCGCGUUUCCCUCUGCGUUGUGCUUGAGCACUAGUGAGUCGCCGAAGCACCACUCUCGUAUUAUGCAAUGGGCUGCAUUUUCAUACGUUGUGAGUUAUGAGUAACUUAAGCUAUUGGGGUUGGGGUAUUAUGUAAUAGCUACCUAUCAGUGUCAUUGAUUAUCGCUUCAAAUACAACCUCAUCUCCCUACAAUCAAUCACCACAAAUAUCACGUCCAAUCCAACAGACAGACAUACAGACAGAUAGAAUGAUAGAUAGAUAGAAUUAAUAUAUUUGCAUACCCGUCCACCCAAGCCAAUGCUAACGCGAUCACUGAUCUUAAAAUCAGAAAAUUUAAACUUGAUAACAUGGCUAAAUUCUUCUCCUUCCAAAGAAUCCGAAUCUUCGAAUUCAAGUGGAGAUAGGGCCUCUUUCUCUCUCGAAAGUGAACACCUAAUUUUGAUUUGUGAUUUUUGUUUGUAAAAUAAAUCAAAACUAGUCCACAUUCGAGGCAAGCAACUUGGUCUUAUCAGUGUUGAUGGAAAACUAUUAGUGUAGCAUUUGCUUGUUUCCAUAAGGCCACUUAAAUAAUGCCCUCCCUGUAAAGUCAUUUGAUUCUGAAACAAAAGUGAUUAUUGACUUAUACAUGUAAAAUGACCAAAAAGGACAUUCUUACAUAUUUAGAAAUCUAAACUUUAAUGAUUUUAGUAUAGUUUUUUUUUCUAUUAAGAGACACGGUAUUUUAAAGAUGAAAACUUUUUUAGCAUUAUACUUUCAAAAGAAACCUAUCAAGACAAUGCAGUUACUAAUAAUAUAACUCUGUCAAACUUUUGGAUCUACUCAUGUAUCUGUAUGUAUAGUUUCCAUAAUUCAAAACCACUUUCUUGUAUUACAUGUAAAUUUACAUGGCUUAACAUGUUAACCACAUUUUCUUGUAUCUUAAAUGGACACGUGGCUUAUAAAUUGGAAAACAAUGUACUUCACUUACAAUGAUAUCUAGUUAUGUUGACCAUUCCUGAUGAUUUGUUUGUUACUUUUAAAUAAGUCUUACAUUUGGUACUAAGAAACGUUUUUUCUUUUGGGACUGUGGUAAUAUAUAUCUUUUUCUUUUGGCCCAUUCAAAUCUAAUUAAAAAAACAGAUGUACAUAAUUCUUUUAUCUAACUGGAUCAGAUGUAUGGAUGAUUAGGAGGUUUAUCAAGUGAUUUUUAAAACAAAAGCCCAAACUAUAUCAACAAAAUCAGAUUAUAACACCAAACAUAAGUGCUUAUUGUUAACAACUUAACAUGUAACCAGAUAAUCACCAAACUAAAUCAACAAAAUCAAAUCAGAUUAUAAGCUUCAUUGAUUCAAAAAAAUUCAUGUGCUUAAAAUAUAAGUGCUUUAUUGAUUAAAAAUAAUCAUCAGCUUAUCACGAGGUGUACAGAACCAGAAAAAGAAAGUGGAAUUCCAAACCAGAAAUUUUACUCAAAUUAGGAACAAGAAUUAAGCUCUAGAUACAAAAUCGAACAAGAAAGUUAUAUGCUUCAUCGAUUCCAGAAAUCAAACAUCAUGUAUCAAUCGAGGAGGUGUAACCGGAUAAAGAAAGUCGGACUUACCAUAUAAAGGGGCAAUAGCCGGCGCCAGCGAUAGGAAGUCUGGACCGGAGGUGAAGAAGGGUCGCAGCUCUUCUCUCUGAUGAACGUUACGAAGGAGCGUGUAUGGGGAAGGAGCCUAACAACGUGAACAGGGUAUUCCAAUUACGGAAAAUUGGAACAAGAAGACUUGCCUAAUCGAAUUCGCAUGAACAAUUAGUUAGGGAUGAAAUUCAUUUAGGGAUUUGUUAGUUAACAUGGAGGGGUGAUAUAGAUUAACAGAGAGUGUGAUGGUUGCGUGUAAUAGAUUCUCAACGUGCGUCUUUCUCAUGCCUACAUCCGUCCGGCCGGUCUAUUACUGCUGAACGCGCGUGCCAAGGGACCGACCACAUCAGUUUGACGGGGUUAACAGUUUUAGCCAUGUUUUAGAGACCAUUUUUUUUUUUUUUUUUAAGUUCACUUAUCAUGUAAUUUUAUUUGGUUUAUGUCCAGCUAAUUUUGUUUUUUUACGCAUUUAGGUAACGAAUUUCAUUUAGGUAACGAAUUUGAUAUAAGUGUUUAUAUAUGACAAUUAUGAUCAGAUAUAACAAGUUAUAGAUGGUCAUAAUGAUCAUGUUUGAACACUUUCAACAAGUUUGUUAUUUAUAUAUAUACAAAAAACGAAGUUACUAAAAUAUGAACAAAACAAAAAGAUAAUUACCCUGAUAAUUCAAUUUGUCUUCUUUUUUAUUUAGCUCCUAAAUUUAACUUAAAUGGUAAAUAUUUUUAAAAUCAUACCAUUUUGAUAAAUAUCUUUUUUUAAAUACACUACUUUGAUAAUUAAAAAUUGCAGAUCUGUCACACAUCUGGCCGAUGGCGGAAACGUUGGGCAGUGCGAACGUGGGGAAAUUGAACUGAGACAUAUAUAUAUAAAACAUAACACAAGGUUUAUCGCAAACAUUUUUUAUUUAUUAUAAAUUAUUCCGGGGUUAUAUUACUUUUUAAAAGACAAACACAUUUCCUAAACAGAACUAAGACAAUAAACAAACAAUGCUUAAACUCCAGCAGCUUCUUUGUAGACUUCCUCCUUCUUGACACGACUAGCAUCCUCCUCCUUGACACGACUAUUCUCUUUCUCACUCAUCUUCCUAAGAAUAUAUAUAUUUUUGAAAACAUCAAUAUAACAUAAUGUUGGUGAAUGCAUAAGUUUUUAGAGUUUUCGGCUUUUAUUUGGUUAUAUUAGUUUAAGAAUCAUUUUUCUUUCAGAAAAACCUUUCCUAAAGUAUUCUAUCAAC